rnacentral:rRNA from 1 species
AGUGAACGCUGGCGGUAGGCCUAACACAUGCAAGUCGAACGGCAGCACAGUAAGAGCUUGCUCUUACGGGUGGCGAGUGGCGGACGGGUGAGGAAUACAUCGGAAUCUACUUUUUCGUGGGGGAUAACGUAGGGAAACUUACGCUAAUACCGCAUACGACCUACGGGUGAAAGCAGGGAUCUUCGGACCUUUGGCGAUUGAAUGAGCCGAUGUCGGAUUAGCUAGUUGGCGGGGGAAAGGCCCACCAAGGCGACGAUCCGUAGCUGGUCUGAGAGGAUGAUCAGCCACACUGGAACUGAGACACGGUCCAGACUCCUACGGGAGGCAGCAGUGGGGAAUAUUGGACAAUGGGCGCAAGCCUGAUCCAGCCAUACCGCGUGGGUGAAGAAGGCCUUCGGGUUGUAAAGCCCUUUUGUUGGGAAAGAAAAGCAGCAGGUUAAUACCCCGCUGUUCUGACGGUACCCAAAGAAUAAGCACCGGCUAACUUCGUG